ACUUUGGCAGCACAUAUAGUAAAUACUAAAAUUGUAACAAUACAAAGAAGAUUAGCAUGGCCCAUGCACAAGGAUGACAUGCAAAUUCAUGAGGCAUUCCAUAUUUCA